GCGUCAUUCUCGUUAACCCUACAGAGUGGAGGCAGAUGCUGCCAAUCCGCCCGCCCGCCCGCGGGCCCGGCCCGGGCAAGGGGUCCCCGUGCACGGACGGCUACGGCCCGGCACCUCGCCCACACCCCCGGUCGGCGAGCGUCGGGCAACCGCGCCCUCCGCCCCCUCCAGCCCCGGGACCUUCAGGGCGAAGGGGGGCGCCACCGGGACCAGCACUCUCUCCGAAACGGGGAGCAGGACCCCGGGGCGCGAGGACCGACGCGGUCUCCGGAGAGCCCCCGACUCAUCCUCAAACAAACUACGCAGUGGCCAGACCGACGGCAGCUGGCACGAGGCCGCGGGGGAGACGACGGCGAGGGAGGGGCGGGGGUCCGGGGGUCCGGGGGUCCCGGGACCCGGCUGCAGGCGGCCCCGCGGGCUGCUCCCGCCGCCGGCCGCGGCCCCGCUGAGGAAGCGGCCCCGCUCGCGCCGCCCCUCCCCCACCCGCCGCCCGGGCCUCACGCGCCGCGGCGGUUACUCCACGCGGCCCCGCGCGCACCAGCCGCGCGAGCGCUCAGGGCCGCCGGGCCCGCAGCCUCGAGCUCGCCGCUCUCCUCACCCCGCUCGGCCUCGCGUCGGCGGCUAGCCCACCUCCAUGUCUCGGCUCAACAGCCGGCCGAGGGCGGAUGUGCGGCACAGCGCCCCGGAGCCUCCGUCCCCACCCGGCCACCCAACCCGGCGGCGCCGCGCGCGGAGGCCCCGCCCCCCACCUCCGGCGCGCCGCGUCCGCCAAGCGCAGGCCCCGCCCCGGCCGCCGCUUUCUUGUUUUGGUGCGACGAGGGGCGGGACGUGGGAAGAGAGGCGCCCCGACUCCGCCGGGAGGCCGGGGUGCGACGUCACUUCCGGGAUGCCGGGCUCGGCCAAUCGGGAGCGCCCGUGGAGGGGGGACGGGAGGGGCGUGGGCCGCCGAGCGCUGAGCGCGGCCCCGCCCAGGACCUCCUCCGGGCAAGGGUCGCACCCGGAUGUGGCCUCCCCGCGGCGACUCCGGCGCGUACCCUCCUGUCUUUUCCGUUCCGUGACUUUUCUUCUCUUUUCGACGCCUCAGGUGCUUCCGCACGGUGUGUUCCGAAUCGAGAAUUUUUUUCCGCUUUUUGA
rnacentral:lncRNA from 12 species